UACAGAGGAUGCAAGCGUUAUCCGGAAUGAUUGGGCGUAAAGCGUCUGUAGGUGGCUUUUUAAGUCCGCCGUCAAAUCCCAGGGCUCAACUCUGGACAGGACGGUGGAAACUACCAAGCUGGAGUACGGUAGGGGCAGGAGGGAAUUUCCGGGUGGAGCGGGUGAAAGUGACGUAGAGAUCGGAAAGAACACCAACGGCGAAAGCACUCAUGCUGGGCCGACACUGACACUGAGAGACGAAAGCUAGGGGAGCGAAUGGGA
rnacentral:rRNA from 1 species